rnacentral:rRNA from 1 species
GACGUAGGGCGCGAGCGUUUGUCCGGAUUUAUUGGGCGUAAAGAGCUCGUAGGCGGCUUGUCGCGUCGACUGUGAAAACCCGCGGCUCAACCGUGUGGUCUGCAGUCGAUACGGGCAGGCUAGAGUUCGGUAGGGGAGACUGGAAUUCCUGGUGUAGCGGUGAAAUGCGCAGAGUAUCAGGAAGAACACCCGGUGGCGGAAGGCGGGCU